rnacentral:lncRNA from 1 species
GAGUUUCACAUCUCCUGUCUCCAGCUAGAGCCUCCAGAAGUCCUAGGGGCAGGGCAAGCUGGUCCCCAAAAGAGGAUCAGAACACCAGAGAGACCAAGAAGGCCCUGGACAGGCCAGCUCACUUGGUCCAGCCCCAGGCCCCACACCUGUAACAAGGGCCGUGAUGACAGAGGUCUCAGCAAACAGCCCGCGGCCAAGGAGCUGGUGCAGCGAGGAGGGCAGGGGCCCACGCGCAGCCAUCCUCCAGAGAGCAUCAGUCUAGGCUGCAAGCUUGAAGCGGAGCAGAGAGUGGGGAGCAGGUUUUCAUCUAUCUGCUCAGGCCAUGGAAUUAAUUCACUGGGUAUCAGGCACUGGAUACACAUCACUUCAAAUUCUCAACACCCUGGAAAGGUCAGGGUCAAGGUCGGUCGCCGCUUUCUGCCAUCCAGCAUCAGCACCCUCUUCCAAUUAGCACCAUCCAUGCGCCCUGGGGGAUGCGCCCCUCGGCGCAGCGCAGUCUUGGUGGAAGGAUCGUGUGUUACAGGUAUAAUCAAAGCGGUUCAUUUUCCCUCUCCCUUUCCUCUAUGGACUCGGCCCAUCGGACACUGUCCCAGGAUUUUGAGAUUUCAGCUGGUGAUGCAAAGAGAAGCCUGGGUUCAUCUGGAACAUCUGGAGCACUAUGAAUGGGUCGCCUGGCCGUGUGGGUCCUGCAGCCCUGCGAGGUCCCUUGGAGGCUGCCUGCUUUCCAAGCCUGUUUUCAUGCCCUUCAGUUCUUCGAACCUCCAGCCCCCAGAGCUGCUCAGCGCAUGCCAUUUGUCGUUUCAUGUAGGGUCAGUUUCUGCUGCCUGUAAUCAUGAGUUUGGUCUGGUCUCUAGGGAUUUGUGGUCCCCAGUUUACAGAUCAGAAAGUUAAGCUCUGGACUAUGGCUCUUAAGCAAAAAGCUCCCCUCCUAGAGAACUCACAGAUCAAGAAGUAUCCAUCUAGGCUGGGCCAGGCCGGAUCUGGAGGUUUGGGAUCUAAAAAGAGAAUGACUCUCUGGGUUAGUUUCCUCACUGAGGCAUGCACACCAGUGUAUCCCCGGCUUGUGCAUUCAGUGUGACCAAAUCCAGGUCCGCACAGAAUGGCAGCUUGGUUUUGUGCAGAGUGUCACUGGUGUGGCACACAGCGAUUUGAGUUAGAACACAGAUAAAAACACGUGUUUAAGAAAUGCUAGGGAGUUCCCGUUGUGACACAUCAGAAAACAAAUCUGACUAGUAUCCAUGAGGUUGCAUGUUCGAUCCCUGGCCUUUCUCAGUGGGUUAAGGAUCCAGCAUUGCCGGGGGCUGUGGUAUAGGUCACGGAUGUGGCUUGGAUCCCCCAUGGCUGUGGCUGUGGUGUAGGCUGGCAGCUACAGCUCCGAUUGGAUCCCUAGCCCGGGAACCUCUAUAUGCCACGUGUGUGGCCCUCAAAAGCAAAACUAAAAAAAAAAAAAAAAAAAAAAAAAAA